rnacentral:rRNA from 1 species
AUUGAACGCUGGCGGCAGGCCUACCACAUGCCAGUCGAACGCAUGGCGGACGGGUGAGUAAUGUCUGGGAAACUGACUGAUGUAGGGGGAUAACUACUGGAAACGGUAGCUACUACCGCAUACAGUAGGAUGUGCCCACAUGGGAUUCGCUAGUAGGUGGGGUAAAGGCUCACCUAGGCGACGAUCCCUAGCUGGUCUGAGAGGAUGACCAGCCAGACUGGAACUGAGACACUGUCCAGACUCCUACGUGAGGCAGCAGUGGGGAAUAUUGCACAAUGGGCGCAAGCCUGAUGCAGCCAUGCCGCGUGUAUGAAGAAGGCCUUCGGGUUGUAAAGUACUUUCAGCGGGGAGGCGUUACCCGCAGAAGAAGCACCGGCUAACUCCGUGCCAGCAGCCGCGGUAAUAC